UACGUAGGGUGCGAGCGUUAAUCGGAAUUACUGGGCGUAAAGCGUGCGCAGGCGGUGAUGUAAGACAGAUGUGAAAUCCCCGGGCUCAACCUGGGAACUGCAUUUGUGACUGCAUCGCUGGAGUGCGGCAGAGGGGGGAUGGAAUUCCGCGUGUAGCAGUGAAAUGCGCAGAUAUCAGGAGGAACACCGGUGGCGAAGGCGG
rnacentral:rRNA from 1 species